AGAAAGUUUGAUGCCUAGACUUGAGGAGCCAAAUUCGGGGGUCCCUGAGGUCCGCGCCUUUAAAGAGGCAGCCCGCCCUGCCGUGUGAGCCCGUGCCCUGCGUGUGGGCACGUGGGAACCCGUACCUGAGCAGCAUUCCUGACACGGGACCUUCCUUGAGAAAAUUCCCCUGUGGAAGAAUCCCCCUUGGGGAGGGGGCUUUGUGGAGAUGGCACCCAGAGCCCGCCCAGUGUGGGUUUUGCUUGAAAACAGUGCAGCAGGUAGUCAAUGCCCCCUUGUUAUCUUCCCGUAGAAUGGACUCGACCAAGAUCUAUGAUCUAAGAGCUUCAAAAAUUAAAUCUACCUUGCCAUCUAAUUAAACAUCCCCAAACACUAGUGUGUUCAAGGUGCCAAUAAUUACUCUGUCGAUUCUUUAAUAUUUUCUUAUUGCCCAUACUUUCAGUUGGCUUUUGCAGUUUUGGAAAGGGUGCUGUGGAGCAUACCAAAGUGGGUAGAAGUUAUGGCUCACCUCUCAGGGUGAUAGCCCAGUGCAAAAAAAUACAGAACACAUGCCUGUCCACUCGAAGAUAGGAGAAGGUUUCAGCCUUCAAAGCAAGAUAGAUUAGGUGGGGGUUAUUUGCUUUACAAAACUUCCUCCAGUGCAGAGAAGUGAUGCUUAGAGUUAAAACUGAGUUUUACACAAGUUUGUAGGAACACAUCUAUCAUAAAGCGGCUCAGGGUAGAGGUAGUGACAGGUAGAGGUAGAUAUCGCAUAGUCUUGCCAUUAAGCAAAUCUAAAAAAAUGCAUGUUAAAUUCUGCAUCAUUCUCACUGAUCACACGUGGAUGCUCACAUUUACAUUUUUCCUUUCUUAUCAAGAUGUAUUCCUACCAUAAGACAACUUCAUAAUUCCCUCAAAACGCCUUAGCCAAGGCCAUUUUGUGGUCCAUAUAAUUUACCCCAUGCUAAAAAACGUAUCUGUAAAAACAUUUACAUUUAAGGGAAUUUCCCUAGUGGUGACACAGUAGUGUCCAUACAUUGAGCACAUUUUAUUCACCAGACACAUUACUAGGUGUGGACGUAUAUUAAUACUUUAAUUCUUGCAAUCACUCUAAGGAGGUAUUAUUAUUAGUUUCCCUGUUUUUGAAUUUAAAGAGUUCAGGUAAUUUUGCCAAGAUUAUUGGGCAAGUAAGUGAUAGAGGCAGGAUUUGAACCUGGAUCUGUUUGACUCCCUGCCCAUGCUCUAUACUGUCUCCCAGUUCUUCUUGAGAGUUGCCCUUAUUGUAAUGCAGUGGCAACAUAUGCUAUCUCUACUGGCCUGGUGCAUCAGACCCCUUUACAGAGUGUUUUCUCCCACUGGGAACCCCCACUGUGUACAUGUAUACUGAAAGGCAACACUGGCGGUCUCCAGACUCUCCCCAUCCCAUCCCCAGCCUAUAAAUCAGAUGGAAAUAUCCAAACAUGUAAACCCACCUCAUUCUUUCAGAUAAGUCGGCCCCAGAAGACAGGUAACCAAGUGUUUCCCGUACUGGCACUUAAAGAGCAGUCUCUAUCUUCUCAACCAUCCAAGUCUAUUUUAGCUCUGCAUAUGGAAGUACACUCCAUCAGUUGGCAACAACACAUCCCCUGCAGCGUUCACACUGGCACACUCGUUCUCUUGUACCAACUGUCAGAGAAUUUCUGACCCGGGCCAGGCUACCUAAAAGGAAAGACUGAAAUGAAGUCGCUGGGGAAAAUAGUAUUAGUUCCAGGGAAUCCCUGAAUUCUCCAUGCAGGGCCCUAGGAACAGAAAGCAGGCCUUCUGCAUAGUGGGAAAUACCACGUAUAAGGUGCAGUCUAUUUUCAACACUAUUGAAAUACGUGUUCACCAUAUAAAACUACACCUGUUGUCUUGGUGAUGGAUGUAGCCACACGCCUAUUCCUAAUUUGAUACUCACUUCUAUGUUAAAGUAGUUGUUGCUUGGCUGAAUGGUAUCAAAAACUGAUGUCACAAUUGUGACAGUUUUGAAGCUGUGCCUAAAAAAUUAUUAUAAUCUACAUCCAUUGUUUUAUAAUUUCUCUUCCCUAGAGUUGUGUGUGUGUGUACGUGUGUGUGUUCUCUUCCUUGGUAUGAUUUUUAACUGUCUCUGCUUCUAAAAUAAUUUGCAGUAGUAAGCUUUAAAAAAAGUUCAUUUUUGAGCUGUGACCAUAUGCUGCCUGGAAACGUAUCCUUAUAGUUGGCAUUUUACUCAUGUUACUCUCGUGCUAAGAAUCUCAAAGUCCCAUAUGCAUGCUUUGAGAUUUCAAAUGGACCCUCCUGUCUAAGUAUUUCACUCCAUUCUUGGUAGCAGUAGUAAGGUUUGAGUUUCGAAUACAGAUCCAGCACCUCACUUCUAAUAUCUCUAAACUGCCAAAAAUCAAAGUAGCACCAACUAAAGUUGGGAAAGAACAUGAGGCUUUCUUAUCACACUCUUACGUCAGAAUAGAAGGUGUUCCCAAAACAUUGUUAGAAAUAAGAGUGAAUAGACUUUUUUAAGUGGCUAGUGAUCUGCAAAACUAUGCCAAAUUAUUGAAAUUGUAGUUUUUCUAAAGUUGUGCAUUUGCAAUAUCUUAUUAACUUAAAACUGUCCAGAAUCAACAAACUUCCACUCUGUAUGCUGUUCUCUUUCUAAAACUUCUUAUUAACUAGCAAUCCAUCUUUAUUUCUAUAUUUCAUCAAAUUAAAAAUGCCAUCAGUUGUAAGACAUAGCAUUAUUUUUUCUGCUGUACACAAAGAGAAAAUAUUGCCAAUUUUAUUAUGACACUCCACUUUAAGGAUAUUCUUCCAUGAUAAGGCAUGAAUAGGUCACACUAGUCUCGUUGCUUUCAAGUUUCCGUCAUCUCUUCCUUGGGUUUCGGUACAUUUUCCUGUCAGUGUUAUUGGUAGCAUUGCUUGGGGUGUGACGGUUCACUUGCAUGAAUCUCAGUAACAAACUGUAACAUAGCUUCUUUAACUUUUGUGUUUCUUUAUUCAGUCUGGUAAAGCAUUUGGAUCUUGCUUUGUAAAAUGAUAUGGAAAUGCCAAACAAAGACAAAUGUUUCCUCUAGUAAUAGAACGUUUAUGUCACACUGCUGUUUUGGUGCCUUCAUGCAUACACAGUAAUGUCUCCUUGCAGUGCCAAAUGAUAGUGUAAUCUUUUUGAAAACCAUUUCAGUGGCAAUUAAACAGAACACGUGCAGUGCCAACAAUGCCCAUAACUCAGUAGAAGUGAAAACAAAAUGAAUAGCUGUGACCAAGUUUAUGCACGUGCAGGGACAUGACAGUUGUGCUGUGAGUACUGCCAAGUUGUCAGUUAUUUUAAUAUACCAUAAAUGUUAAGACAUAUCUUGAUUUCAGGGAUGUUAAAAUGUGAAAAAGUAAUCUUAUCAAUGAAAUAUGGUAAUCUGUGUUCACUUAGUUUCAUGAUCCCUAACCUGAUUACAUUUUUUAUGUAUUCAUUCAUCCAUACAGUCAUUCAUGGUGUUAGACUUCAAGCUGCAGGAGGGCAAGGACUUUUUCUAUCUUUUGUUCUCUACUAUAUACCAAUUGCUUAGGACAGUCUGUUUUACAUAGUAAACCUGCUCAAUAAAAUAGUUAGUAGAAUUAGUGAGUAAAUAUCCUCCAUGGAAGCCGUGGAGACACAUUGAGAAGCUCGCUACCCUCCUGUUGGUUAGAAUACAUAUUCUUAAAAUUAUGACACUGACAGGAAUGCCAAACCUGAAAAAGGCGAAGCAGUCCUUGAUUUAAUUUACAGGGUCCUAUUCCAAAUAUGCCAUUACAAAGCUAGUUUAGGAUAGAAGAAAUUCCAUUAUAUCUUUUAUUCAUCUUGAUCACUGAAGGAUUACGUAACAACUUACAUCUUGGUUCUGUUGUAUGGUCUAAAAUCAAUUUCUUGAACUCUAUACUUAGUCCAAUUUUACAUACUUGUCCUAUUGUACAUUUAACAUCUACCAGAAUUAACAGAGAAGUGUCUGUAGGCCUUUCUGAAGCAGAAACUCAGUGCUUGUGACCUUGCUUGGAAAUACAUCCCCAAGAAUAUAUAUAUCUACUUAGGUACAUUGCCCUAGAGUCCAUUUUUUAACCCCCAAAAUGGCCGUCUUUACAUUUUGACAUGUUAUGAAGGAAAAGAGAAAGAAACCUUGCUGGGCAACACAGAUCUCCAUCUGCCAGUGCCUCUGCUUCCUCACUGCUGCCGCCUGCUCAGGCAGAGCGCACUUUUAGACCAAGGACAGGAUGCUAGAUGAAGAUGCCAGCAGAAGGAAUGGCACAGAAACUAGCUUAGCACCCUCUCUGAAGCAGUCCCAGGAUCUAAAGCCAAUUAGCAUAGCCCAAAUAACCCCACACUCAGUGUAAGAGCUAGACCUGCAAAGACGCACCCAGCUUCCAAUCCAGUGAAAUGUGGGACCUCUGAACACGUAUCUUACGAACUGAGGUCGCUAGUGGGUUCCAGCCUGCUAGCUUAGGGGAAGAUGAUGUGGGCAGAGUGUCAUUACUGCCUGUCCCCAAGUACGGUGAAGCAGUGUGGCAUGGUGGUGGGUGCUGUGAAGCGACAUGGUAGAUAGCUAGAGCUUGCUCUUUCAUAUAGUAGAAAAUAAUGGUUAAUUAAAUCUUUUUGGUUAUUCAGUAAAGGAGCUUACAAGUGCUUUUAUUAAGUAUUGUUAACGUGGGCCAGACAAGGUAAUGUAAUGUAAACGACAAAAAGUUUAAAACUUGUUUACUGAGCGUAGAGGGUGGGAUGAAAGAAAACCCAAAUAAUCUUAGCUGCCAAUUCUAUAAUUAUGUGGGGUGUUUUAAUAGUACCCAGGAUUUGUUUUAACCAGGUAUGGUAAAACAUGCAGACACAGAAAUGACUGUCAUAAAGGAAGUUUAUUAUACUCAAGAGUCCCCUAGAAACCGGAGGUACAGCAUGGCAUGCCAUGCAGGGGGCACACAGGGAAGCAGCAGGAUCAGGCAGGAGGCAGGGGGAACAAGAAGAAAUGUGGGCAAGAGCCUUACGGUGGUUUCCAUGGGAAGGAAUGAGCAAAGCAGGGAGAUGCUGAAGCAAGCAAGUGAACGGCAAACUUCUACUGAAAUGAUCAACAUCACCAGCAAAGCAGAAACUUGAUCCAAAUAUAACCAUAGAAUGUUAACAAUGGGAAGGAAUAGGGAGAGAAGCUUUGGGAAGGAGUAUGGCUUUGAGUCAAAUGAGAGAUGAUUAAUGAGUGAGGAAUAAAAGCAAAGCAUUGAAACUAACACAUACUGAGAAAGAUAAUGUAAUGCAAAAAGGGAAGCAUUAUGAUAAAAAAUUCAAGUGAUUGAACGAAAUGGAAACUGAUUUACAAGGUGGUAGGGAUACAGCUGGAAGCUCAGCAGUUCCAUCUGGGAAUAAAAAGUAGGAAGUUAACCUGUUCCAAGUGACCCUCCUCAGCCCAGUAAUGAUAUUGUCAAAGGGGAAGGGGAGUGAGUAAAUAAAAUAAAGGGGUUAACUCCAUGCAGAAGAGAAAUUUCCAGGUUGGGAUCAAGAAACCAAGAUGAUUAAAUCAACCCAGAAUACUUUGUGUGAAAUAUGAUCAAAGCGAUAAGAAGAUUAUCUUCUCAAAUUAUAUCCCUAGUAGGAGUCCCCAGAUGGGGUGGCAGGGAUAUAUGUGGAUUUUAGAAAAUGGCUGCUUUAAACAGUUCAGGAAGGUGGCCUGAAACAAAAAAUGGAUAAUGAGGACAACAACAAAAUCCUAACCUAUAGAUCCCUCCACAUAUACAAGACUUAAGAAUAAAGGAAUCAAUUGCCUCUCUCCAAGCCAUACCAGUUGUCUGGGUAUGCCCAAUCACCUUUUUCACAAGUCAGGAAAAGGUACCAGAUCUAAAAUUAAAAUGACAGACAGACAGAUAGAUUGACACAGAUAUAGACAGACAGAUUCAAAGAAGAGGGCCUUGUUGAUGCAAAGCUGGAAUAGAAGGCAGAAAUGUCACAAUUGAGAUACAAAUAGGGUGGCUCCCAGAACAUAAACAGGCCUUGGCGAUAGAGGAAAUGCUGGACAGACACCCAGGAGCCCUGAAUUCUAAGCUCGCUGCUGCUCCUGCCUAGCUUUAUGGUCUUGGUGAGGGAGUUGCCUGAUGUGUUUCUGUGUUUUCGUGCUUGUAAAACAAGAGAGUUGCAAUAAAUGAAUUCGAAGAUCCUUACCACAUUUAAAGAUUUCUGUAACGAUAUAAAGAAUAGAGGAAUAUGAAGUGAACCCAGUUCUCAUGACAAGUUCAAAGCGAAUUCACCACUUGGGGAAGUAAGUAUCAAGUUUCCAUCAUUUAGACAUUAAUUUAUUUCUCUUCUGUUUUUAGAUUGCCAACCCACUCCUGAUCUAAGUUCACAAAAAACCUGUUUCAUGUCUUUCUCAAAACCUUCCAGGAAUGCCAUAUUAUCUGUAAUUUAAAUUUCAACAAGAAUAGGCACAUUUGGAUUAUUAAAGGCCAUACUGUCCAUAUUUGUGCAUAUUCUUCCUGUUUUGCUCCUGCUGGAGAUACUUUUUGGGGUAUUGGAACCCUCUGUUCACUCUCCUCUGUGAGUGUUAUUUCUUUGGAAUAUACAUGCCAGGGGAUUUAAACAUUGUGCAGUAGAAUAUUACUUGAUAACAUCAGUUGUAUUUAUAAAUCAUCAUAUGUAAAACAUGAGACACAAAUUGCCUUGUUUCUACUGCAGGGUCAGGUGUUCUUUCUCCUGUUCAAGGUAAUUAGACAGUGACUUGUAUAAUAAACCCAAGGGUGGAAAAGACAUUUCAGCCUGCCAGUUACACAUAGAAUUGCACUGACUUUGUAUCCGUAGGGUAUUUAAUGCCACCCUAAGGGAUCAGAAAAGCAGGACCCCUCUCUUUUGUAUAGGUUCCAGAAGAGUGGAAAGUUAUUUAAGAAUAUUGUAGAACCUUGCAUGAAAAUAUGUCUUCAAUAGAAUUGAGGCUCUGUGGCCAGAGAGGCAAAUCAAUGAGAGUGGGGUUAGAGGAAGACAAGAAUCAGAAAGGCAAGAGUCAGACGACAAGACUGAGCAGACUGGGGGAAAGUCCUGGUAAAUUGCAGACAACAAUCUUGGUCAAGUUACAUUUGAAUUGCUGAUGAGCUGCCUCAGAGAAGAUGCUGCAGAGAUAGUAGAGAGGCAAGAUUCCACAGGAUGAAGAGAUCUGGGGUGGACAGUAGAACCAGGGACCUAGGAACAUAAGGUGGAUGAUAGAAUUUGUGUACAGGUAAUCGAUUAAAAAAAGGCAAUUAGUGUUUGACAAUUAGACAAACAGUGGAAUUUAUUUUACUUUUUGAAAUUCACACAAGCAAGAGGAAGUAAAGUCCUUAAGGCUAUGUCUACACUAAACUCACAAGGGAAGUCAGAGGGUCCAGAACAUCUUUUAGUGUUCCCUGCAAUCCUGCAACCUGGAGUUCCCCAAGAAAUUUUUGAAACGGAUGCUCCGUCUGCAUUCCAGGUAGGAUGUUUUGUGUUGGGUUCUGUUUGCUUUGCAUUUUGAUUCCCGUAUAGAAUAAUCUACUAGAGUGGAUUCUGGAACUCCAUUCGAUCUUUAGACCAGUGGGUUCCUUGAGGAUCUGAAAUAUGAGCCUCCUAGUGAGUUUAAGUUUAUAAAUGGCCUGCCUUGAAUAUGCACUUGGAAAGAUUAGUGGGAAGUCCUGCUACAGGCAUAGCCAUUGAUAAAAUUCCAGGAGAGAGACUCAAUGAUGAGGAAAGUCUCAGCUAAAAAAAUCCACCCAGAGUUUGAUGAGGAUAAAGGUAUAAUAGAGGCAAUUAGCAUUGUUCACAAGAAGCCAAAUUCUGACUUUAAUUAAGAAACAUAAAGGUAAAUUAAAGAAAAAAAUUUUAUUUAAAAAUUCAGUAAAGUACUAGAGAAGAAAAUGCUGAUUAUCACAGAAUAUAUCACAGGUUUCUGUUAAAGGGGAGGAAAAGAAGUUAGUGUUAUCAGGAAGAGCCGUUGGUUCAAAAGAGGCUUUUAUGAAAAUUAGUUUGAGAAAGUGACAUUCUUAAUUGAUGAUAUGAAAGGUUUAAAAUAUUUCCUGCACUUUUUUGUCUUUGUGUUUAAUUAGUAUGCUCUGACAUAUGUCAGGGCAUUAAUAAUUUUGCAACAUUAGUUAAUCUGCCCAAGUUGAAUAUUAUAAAUGUAUGUGCAUAUGUGUGUGUGCAUUACUUAAUAGAACAAGAAUGUGAGUCUGUAACGUCUAGCUCAGUUUUGAGAUCCCUAGACUGGGUUGCCUCUCAUUAAUAGAAUUAAUGGAAUUUAAGAUAUAUUAAAUAGUAACCAAUUUAUGAUAUUCUAAUCCUUACUCCACAAAUAUAUUGUUGUAUGAGUUUUAAACAUUUCUGCUUUAGUACCAUACUUGAAAAUUCAGGGUGUUGGCAGAACGAAAGCCCACUUGAAAUAUUAACUCCAAAAUAGACUCAUUUUUUCCUUGCCAGUAUAGGCAAAUCUACAGGGACCUUUUGUUGCCAGUCAAAUGGAAAAAUCCUAUUUUAGGAAUCAACCCUAUUUUUAAAUAGUUUUCAGUCAUUACUUAAUGAAAGGCAUAGCUCUUGAUCUGCUUUUCAAAGGAUUAAACAAAAAUCUGGGCUUCAAGUGAAAUGUCAACAAAUGCCACAUAUACCCUACAUUGAAAAGUUUAAGUUGUGUGGCUAAUUAAUACUAGAGCAUCAGAGAUAAAUUUGCAUGACACUAGCCAUUUAUUAUUUUAAGCUUUUUUGGUAAAUGUUUUCUUAAACACAUUUUAACAGUUGUUUGAUAUAAGGUAUAAUAAAGGCAUCCAAAUUCAUAGUUUGAUAAUUUGCAUUGAGUUCUUUUCUCUAUGCUAAAUAAAGUAUGGAUAUUGCUAAGACAGUUUUCAAAGUAUAAUGUGUUCAAUCGUGAUCAUGAUCGAUGGCUGAAUGUAUUUCCAAAUAUACUCAUAAUUUUAGCUUAAAUGUAGUUGAGUUGAGUGCAGAUUGAAUAACAAAUGGAAUUGAGAUACAGUGGAAACUUGAAGCUAAGUCAGAUAAAGACCACUAGCAUUACCCUUGGGUGUGGACCAGAGUGGAAAAGGAAUCUGGGAUUCUGAUGUUGCAGUAGCUAACCCUGAAACUCGAUGCAAUGGUUGACUUAUGAAGAGACCUAAUUGUGUGUAUGCACAGUAUUUUGAAAGGAUCAAAUACACACACACACACAGAGACUAGAUCAUAAGUAGUUUGAUAGCUAGAUAAAUAAUCCAUUCAAAAAAUACAUAUAUAGAGAAAGCAUGGUGUGUGUGUGUGUGUGUGUGUGUGUGUGUGUGUGUUCUAUGGAUGGAUGGGUGUAUACACAUAUAUGUAUGUACACUUAUAUUUAAAGCUAUAUCUCAGUUGUCUGGAAGUGAUUCUCAAAUUGUCUCCCUGCUUUUCCUGUGCAUUCCUGUACAACAUGGAAGUUGUAAAUGAUUGUAAAGUUGUCAGUAAUGCCCCUAGGCUCAUGUUAGCUUACAGAUGAGAGCUAAUUCUGGGUAGAUAAUAUCUGAGCUUAUUUAUUAAAACACAUUUUUGCUUUUCUUUUUUAAGAGUUACUUAAAAAAUAAAUAAAGGCAAUGGAAAGCUUUUCCAGUGAUUUUUUUUUCAUGUGAAAUUAAGUUUUAGCCUUAGACCAUGUGAGGUGGGGUAGAUAUCAUAGAAACCCAGGACCAAGCUGCUAUCCCGAGGGUAACAUUUCUAACUUUAUUAGCAUUUCUAACAUUUCUGACUUUGAGAUGUAAUUUCCAUAGGAGCCUGUGGUUCAAAUUUGAGGUGUUCAGAACUAAAUGUGGAAUUUUCAGAUCAUGGAAGUGAGAUUUAUUUUGAUGAGGAAAAACCCUGUACCUAUGUGGAAACAUAAGCUUUGAGACAUCAGUAUUCAUGUGCAUCAGGGUUUAUCUUUUAUAUUAUCAGAUCUGUUUCUGAAUCUGCCCCUGCUCACCAAAAAAGUCUAGAUUUGCUUCCAAAUUAAAGAUACGGUAUAUAGUACCUAGUGGUAAGAGAGUGAAGAUACAUAGUCUAGAUGCAGUGGGUUAUUUCUAAACAUUGCCUUCAAACAUGACUGCAAAUACAUUAGAAGAAAAAUUAUUAAGUGAUUGGGAUAAAUAUAAUUAGCCUUUGGGUUGUUGCUAUUAUAAUCAAUGCAGAAAUCUCAUUAAUUUAUGCACAGUUUGGAGUUGAUGAUUAUGUGAGAUCUCAGCAUAAUCUCCAAUUUCUAUAUUUAUAAUAAAAGAAGAAAUAAAUAGCAUGGACAAGAUAGAUUUCCUUACAUGAGCAACAUAAUGAGUGCCCGUAAGUGCUAGGCAUGAUGUAUGUUAUAUAACCUAAUGUUCAUAAGUUGCCUCUGGGGUAGAUGAUAUUAUCUGUAUUUUACCAAUAAGAAAAUCUGAGGCUUAUGGUUUAAGGGACUAAUCAAGGUCAUGUAUCUAAGGAAGUGGAUUGAGGAUGUGAACUUGGGUCCUGUGCUUUUCUGAGUACCAACCCUCGUAAGUUCCUUAGGCGUUUUUAUUCCUUUGUUCAACCCAUUUCCUGAGUGACACUAUGGUAAACAUUAUUUUUGCAAGCAAUAUGCUUACUACUGUAUUUACCAGUCACUCUUAUCUGAGCACUAGAGCAGUUCUCUCAAGAACUUCAAGGUGCUACUGCUUUCUUAGACUGGCAGAGACUGUAUAUACAUUUGAAAUAUUCAUAUCCUAGUAAUGUAUACUCUUUCCGACUCCUGCAUGUCUCUUACUAGUUUCAUUAUUGCUGUUUUACUGCACUUAAUUGUGUGUGUUCAUGGAACAUCUUGGAGUCAGUAUUCACUAUAGAAAAGGAUUAAUAAAGUCAAGACUUAAUAGUAGCUACUUCCUGAUAAUGUUGUCUGCAAAGGCUCCUUCUGAAUCUCAAUCCUGAAAAUGCUCUCAGAUAUUGAGCUGAUGCUGGCACAAAUGAAAAUCAGAUAGAACUUUUAGGUAGUAAUUUUUAGAAUCUUUACUGAGUGUCAGGUAGGAGGAAGCAGCUGGGAAUAUGCAUUAUUUUUAAAACUAAGAGCAAAGGUUUUCUUGUGUUCUUGUUGCCAGCUUCAUGUUUCAGAAAAUAGUUGACUCUCCUGAUGUGUAAGUUCAUAAAGGCAUGCCAUGCUUCCUUCUCAGCUCUGAAUUUAGUGAGCUUUUAGGUUUUGAGAGGUGUCUAAAAUAUUUCUUUCUCCUAUUUAGUGAGACAUAAACAUUUUUAUUGAAAUGCACAGGAAAACCCAACAUAGUUCCUGCCAUGCUGCCAUGUGCAAGGCAAUCUUGCCUGUUUCAUCACUGCUGUUAUGUUUUUUUUUUUUUUUGAGAUGGAGUUUUGUUUUUGUUGCCCAGGCUGGAGUGCAAUGGCAUGAUCUCAGCUCACUGCAACCUCCGCCUCCCAUGUUCAAGUGAUUCUCCUGCCUCAGCCUCCCAAGUAGCUACGAUUACAGGCGUGCACCACCACGCCCAGCUAAUUUUGUAUUUUUAGUAGAGACAGGGUUUCACAAUGUUGGUCAGGCUGGUCUCAAACUCCUAACCUCAAGUGAUCCACCUGCCUCGGCCUCCCAAAGUGCUAGGAUGACAGGCAUGAACCACUGUGCCUGGCCAAUUGUGAUUUAUUUAAAGCCUUUCUUCAGUCUAUGAGAUACACUGAGUUCUAAGUGCCCCUGUGAAAUGUCAGUGAAUGGAAGUGGGCAGGCAAUUAAAGAAAGAAGCUAUGUUGGCAUAACUAGACUUUAGCAUAUGUAUUUCAGGGAAAAAAAAAAGGUAGCUCAAGUGAUGGAAGAGUGGAAAUAUUUUAAAAGAUGUCUAGGGAUUUGUUAGCAAUGUAUAUCCUACCACAUCAUUUUUAUUAUACAAUUUUCUCUUGGAAGAAUCAUGGGGUUUUACAGUAACAAAGACUUCCCCAGGCCUAUAAUAAGCUGAUGGGUUGCUUUUUCUCUUUCACUACUGCAUGAAAUUUCUGCUAACAGAGCUAGGCCUCAUUAACCUUGUGCCAUCAUUUCAUCUGUCCUGUUACCCGUUUCAUAAAGGAUGUCCUUUUGUGUCCCAUGAUCAAGAUGGAAACACCUCUAAUGAGAGCUUCACAGUUAGUGGAAUGAGCCCCUGGUAUGCACACUGGAAAUCUACUUGCUUGAAAGUCAGAUUUACAUAGAGUGAUCCUUCUUUAGCAAUAAUGUAUGGCCCUAGAACUUGUGGCAUCAGGCUAUUUGAAUCAUAAUAAAAAUAUUUUUUAUAAAAACAGGUGAAAUUGGAAGAAACUUGGAGGUGUUGGGGUGGGUAGAAUAAGAGAAAGAACAGGUGGCCAGAAGAGAGAGAGGAGGGAGAAUAAAAGGAGACAAAGAAAGACAAACUUCUGUCAUGUCCCAGUGAAGUUAGAAGCCACCCCAGGAAUUUCUCAGAUAGUUACAUUGAUAAGCAAGAGUGAGAAGUCCAUACAAUUGCCAGAUGGAUUAUGUCAGUAAAUAUGCAAAUUGGAAAAUGCAGUUUCAACACAGUUUUGCUUCAGAGUUGUGUUUUCCUUUUCAGUCAUACUUGAAUUGAACACCUAAUUUCCUCAACCUUAUGUGUUGAGUGAAUGUCAUCUGGAAGCGUAUGUUUCAGCUUACACAUCUAUGACUUCUAUACAUCUAAAAUUAAAAUCUCAUUUAAUUUUAAUGCAUCUCAUUUGCUAAGAAAAUAGUAGUAAUUUAGGCGGUUGUCUUUGUCACACACACCAAAAGACCAAUUAGAAUGGUUCCCUUGUUUUUCUUGGCUUAGAGUCGUUUGUCUCAUACCUGCUGGAAAUUAAUUUUAACAGUCAGUCACUUAUUUAAUUAAGUUAGAAGACUUUUAAAAGGUAAUGUAUCCAAUAAAAUCGUAGACUAAUGGCCACUAUGAAAUGCUCAUUAUGCUAGCAGCCUUUAAGCCUUUAGCAAAAAGAAUUGUGAAGAGGGUUUAUAUGAAUGGAUUAGGUUUCAUUUUAAAGUGCAUUAAGUGACAUAAACAAAUGUGAAAAACUUAAGUAACUUACAAGUACCUUAGAUUACUAAUUAAAUGAAAAAAGGAGUUAAAUAUUGGAGUGGUAGUAAAGUUUCAGAGCAGUGUUUUCAGGUAUGUUAUAUUAGUAUAUCCACCAGAGAGGAAUAAAUGUGUUUUAAGAUAAUAUAAGGCCUAUGAUGUCAGAUGUUUUCAUGUGAGCUACAAUUUAUUUAAAUGAUCAAUAUCUCCCUUGGGCUUGUUUUCUUGCUUAAUAAAUGAAAUAUGUGGUUAUGCAUUAUAAGAAGAAAUUAAUAAGACAUAAUUCAAAUGAUAAUUUCUUAUGGGGAGAAAGUUCUAGAUAGUCUAUGUUAGAAGAAGCCCUAAAGUGGCAUUACAUAAUAAAACUAUAAUGUAAGCCAUAUAUAUAAUUUUAAAUUUUCCACUAGACACAUUAAAACAAGUAAAAAGAAACAGGUAAAUUUAUUUAAUACAUUUUCUUUAGUGCAAUAUAUGUCAAACAUUAUGUUAACUUAUAAUUCAUAUAACAAAUUAUUAAUGGAAUUAAAACCUUUUUUUUGGCCAGGCACAGUGGCUUACACUUGUAAUCCUAGCACAUUGAGAGGCUGAGGCAGGAGUUCAAGAGCAGCCUGGCCAACAUGGUGAAACCCCAUCUCUGCUAAAAAAAAAAAAAAAUACAAAAAUUAGCCAGACGUGGUGGUGCACACCUCUAAUCCCAGCCACUUGGGAGGCUGAGGCACGAUAAUUGCUUGAACCCCGGAAGCAAAGGUUGCAGUUAGCCAAAAUCCCACCACUGUAUUCCAGCCUGGGUGACAGAAUGAUACCUCGUCUCAAAAAAAAAAAAAAAAAAAAAAAAAUCUAAGUCUUUGAAAUCCAGGGUGCGUUUUACAUGUACAGCACAUUUCAAUUCAGCUGUGUUUCAUGUGCUCAGUAGCACAUGUACUGGCAAUUACCAUGCUGGACUUCAAAGCUCUGAAGCAAAGACUCACAGGGCCAAGCAGGCAAGAAAACGACUGAAACAGGUCACCUGGGACCUGUAGCAAACUGCCACUUUCUACAUGCACAGGGCUGCUCUCAGCCCAGCCAGUUCCUGCCUUAGCCCUAGUGCUGCCAGAUUUUCUGAAGCCAGAAAUCCGGAGUCCUAUUCUUGAUAUUUAAGUGUUGGCAACUAAUGUAAACAUCAUACCAUGCUGGCCUUCGGGUUGCCAGUUUGUGGCCUCUGUUCCCAGGAUUUCACAUUUUAAGCCAUAUAAGGGUUUCUGACUCGUCUAACAAGCUGUAUUGGGUUCGGUGAAGGAUAAUAAAGGAUCCCCUUUUUCACAAA